rnacentral:rRNA from 1 species
UACAGAGGUCCCAAGCGUUGUUCGGAUUCACUGGGCGUAAAGGGCGCGUAGGCGGCUUUGCAAGUGGCGGGUGAAAUCCCUCGGCUUAACCGAGGAACUGCCUGCCAGACUGUGAGGCUUGAGACCGGGAGAGGUGAGUGGAAUUCCCAGUGUAGCGGUGAAAUGCGUAGAUAUUGGGAGGAACACCAGUGGCGAAGGCGGCUCACUGGACCGGAACUGACGCUGAGGCGCGAAAGCGUGGGGAGCAAACAGG